rnacentral:rRNA from 1 species
GUGCUCGAGUGGCGAACGGGUGAGUAACACGUGAGUAACCUGCCCUUGACUUUGGGAUAACUUCAGGAAACUGGGGCUAAUACCGGAUAGGAGCUCCUGCUGCAUGGUGGGGGUUGGAAAGUUUCGGCGGUUGGGGAUGGACUCGCGGCUUAUCAGCUUGUUGGUGGGGUAGCGGCUUACCAAGGCUUUGACGGGUAGCCGGCCUGAGAGGGUGACCGGCCACAUUGGGACUGAGAUACGGCCCAG